UGCCAGCCGCCGCGGUAAUACGGAGGGUGCAAACGUUGUUCGGAAUCACUGGGCAUAAAGCGCACGUAGGCGGUUUUGUCAGUCUGAUGUGAAAGCCCUCGGCUCAACCGGGGAACUGCAUUGGAUACUGCAAGACUUGAGGACGGUUGGGGUGAGUGGUACUCCUGGUGGAGCGGUGAAAUGCGUAGAUAUCAGGAGGAACACCAGUGGCGAAAGCGGCUCACUGGACCGUAACUGACGCUGAGGUGCGAAAGCUAGGGGAGCGAACAGGAUUAGAUA
rnacentral:rRNA from 1 species